CACAGAGAGCAGCUCUGCAAACUGCUUUUGGUAUCAUUAUCAUGGUGUUUAAAGGCAGUCCUGGCCUGCCAGCACUGUAGACGUGCUGGGCAUGCCUUUUGCAAAAACAGCCCCACAAAGAGUGCAGCCAAUGGCAAGGCAGAGCUUAGAGACUCCAAAGUGAUCUUCGCAGCCUAGCACUAUCCCAGACAAAGGAUCUCCUGUGAGGCUGGGCUCUCACCACAGGACACAGGCAGCCACAAGCUGCGACAUGGAGUUCUCUGCAGAGGAUCUGGUCGCCGCCACUGAAAUCACAGGAGGCUUCGGCAAAAGACAAUGUUCUCAAAUCCCCCAGGUCGCCACCAUCGGAUCGAUGGCGGAGUCUCCCUAAGCAGGAACCUCUGGGUGGCACCAGGGCAGGUCGGCGCCGGGAGGGGCGCGCUACUCUGUAUCACCGGGCAGGAGAUAGCCCUGAGCCAAAGGGGGCAUCGGGGCUCACAACAACCCUGGAAGGUGGUUUUGAAGUCAUGAGCUUAACUGGUUCUGCCAGCAAUCCUCCUGGGUACUAAGAUUACAAUCACGUCACGUGCUGGCAUGAAAUCAUUUCAAAAGAAGGGCAAAAGAUCACCACAGCCCAGGAUAAGGAACGACACCAUAAUCGUCAUGUUAUCGAAAUGUGAAACAAAAUUAUAGUGAAAGUCAGGCGCUGGGAACCCCCAGAGACACAGCUGUGCAGGAAGCUCACAGGCCUGGGCAAUGCUGGGAGCCUCAAAACUGAAAAUCCCCAACAGAGCAGCAAGAUACCAUACUGUGGAGUACAAAUCAGACAGCGCUGGACAUGGCACAGCAGGUGAAAGGCUGAAGAGAUGGCUCAGCAUAAGAGCACUGACUGCUCUUCCAGAGGUCCUGAGUUCAAAUCCCAGCAACCACAUAGUGUCUCUGUAAUGAGAUCUGAUGCCCUCUUCUGGUGUGUCUGAGGACAGUGACAGUGUAUCCACAUACAUGAAAUAAAUAAAUCUUUUAAAAAAGAAAAAAAAAA